UACGGAGGGUGCAAGCGUUAUCCGGAUUCACUGGGUUUAAAGGGCGCGUAGGCGGCUCUGUUAGUCAGGCGUGAAAGCCCUGGGCUCAACCUGGGGACUGCGCUUGAGACGGCAGGGCUUGAGGGCAGAAGAGGCUCGCGGAAUUCCCAGUGUAGAGGUGAAAUUCGUAGAUAUUGGGAAGAACACCGGUGGCGAAGGCGGCGAGCUGGUCUGCACCUGACGCUGAGGCGCGAUAGCGUGGGGAGCAAACAGG
rnacentral:rRNA from 1 species